rnacentral:misc_RNA from 1 species
UCCGGUUUGUCACCGGCAGUCUCAUUAGAGUGCCCGGCAUAACCCGCUGGUAACUAGGGACGAGGGUUGCGCUCGUUGCGGGACUUAACCCAACAUCUCACGACACGAGCUGACGACAGCCAUGCAGCACCUGUGUUACGGCUCCCUUUCGGGCACACCCGCAUCUCUGCGGGCUUCCGUACAUGUCAAGGGUAGGUAAGGUUUUUCGCGUUGCAUCGAAUUAAUCCACAUAAUCCACCGCUUGUGCGGGUCCCCGUCAAUUCCUUUGAGUUUUAACCUUGCGGCCGUACUCCCCAGGCGGAUCACUUCACGCGUUAGCUACGGUACCAGGAGAUCGCUCCCCCAACACCUAGUGAUCAUCGUUUAGGGCGUGGACUAC